CACAUACCACACUGAACACAUGCAUCGUGAAGAACGGAGCUAGCUGCGAGAAUUAAUGUGAAUUGCAGGACACAUUGACCAUCAACACUUAGAACGCCCUUGUGGCCCCGGGCUCCUGCCGCAGCCCCUCUUCCCUUCAGGGAGU
ensembl:rRNA 5_8S_rRNA 5.8S ribosomal RNA